GGUUCGAUGGUGUAGUUGGUUAUCACGUCUGUCUCACACAGCACCUAUAAAGAUACUGUACAUUUGUGCACACAGGAGGUCUCCGGUUCGAGCCCGGAUCGAACCA